UGUAGACAAGGUUUGAGAUUAUUGAAUCUGAACUGGCUAGAUAGUUUAUUAUUGGUCUGUACAUCAGUGCCUUAUCAAAAUUUCAAAAUUUAAUCAUAAUUUGAAACCUAAAAGAUCUGAAUUAGAUUACCGUUCAUGGAUAUAGUAUGUGUAAUACAUAGAAGCCGAGGAAGCGGGGUAUAGGGACGGUGAACGCAUCUUAAGUGAGGUAAUAGGCAAGGUAGAAGAGGCAAAUCUUACCACGGUGUCCUUGAUUCCCAUCUCAUCGCGAGCUGGUCUGGAACUGCUGCGGGCUCGUGAUUGCGGUUCUGAUUGCAAACGCAUUCGUUUAGUAACAGGUUGAGACUGCGAUCUCG